UUGCAUGUAGCACCCCGGGCUUCUCUGAAAUCAUAAAUUAAAUGAAGAAAAAGCCCCAAUGCUUGUGCUAUAUAAUACCUAAGCCGUCAAGUGUUACAGUUCAGUCUUUGUACCUAUUCCUAUGACCGUUUCUGUGUCAAAUCGUCGGCUACAUAU